rnacentral:rRNA from 1 species
GACGAACGCUGGCGGCGUGCUUAACACAUGCAAGUCGAACGGAAAGGCCCUGCUUUUGUGGGGUGCUCGAGUGGCGAACGGGUGAGUAACACGUGAGUAACCUGCCCUUGACUUUGGGAUAACUUCAGGAAACUGGGGCUAAUACCGGAUAGGAGCUCCUGCUGCAUGGUGGGGGUUGGAAAGUUUCGGCGGUUGGGGAUGGAAUCGCGGCUUAUCAGCUUGUUGGUGGGGUAGUGGCUUACCAAGGCUUUGACGGGUAGCCGGCCUGAGAGGGUGACCGGCCUAAUAUGGACGGAGAUACGGCCACGACUCCUACGGGACGCAGCGGUGGCGAAUAGUACACAGUGAGCGGAACCCACGUGCAGCAACGCCGCGUGCACGAUUAUUACCUUUGGAUAGUAAACCGCUCCCGCUGGUCAUGAAGCGUGACUGACGUUUACUGGUAAGGAAGCACCGACUUACUACGUG